CACACACCUCCCCACGGGCUGUUUUCUGUGUUUGUAUUCAGUUUGAGCUGAGAUAGUUUUUAGAUUGGGUGUUUGUAAAACCAACUGUAAGACAAUGUACAUUAACACUUUACACUGGGAAGUGUAAAGUCACCGUGGAAAGUGACUUUAACAUUCAUUUGACGUCAUGGAUCAUUGUUUUGUGGCUGCUGUUGCUCGUCCUGUCAGGCGACUUUGGCUCAGUUCAAUUAGAGUGAACUCAGUGGAACAAACAGUGACUGUCUGGUUUGGAUUCAGGUUUCCCACUAGAUUUAUUGCACUGUAAAAUCAGCAGAUGUGACGCGUUGUGUGGCAAUCGUUGAAUAACCAGUUAGUUAUCAGGGCUGUGAGGGUUGGGUCCGCGGACAGGUUAUAAACAAACAGGCUGAAAAGAACGACUGGUGACUUUAUAGCUGUAAACACAGUGCAGUUAAAGCCACAAACAUAACAUGUGCUGCCAUAAUUUGGCUCCGAACUACCUGAGUUCUACACAAACUGGUUUUGUUUUGCUGUAACGCUGCAUGCGCUGAUCUGCCUCUUACACAACUCACUGUGUGCGACUGUGAGGUGAUUGCAGGCAGCACAUGCAGAAGCGUUCAGUCGAUCACUGAUCUGCCUGUUGCCUGGAUGCACACGCCGGACGACUGCAGGUCCAGAUGCUUCUCCAGCUUCUCGUUGGACGUCUCUGAUUGUCCUCAUCUCUCAGCGCAACUGCAUCUCCUUUGUUGAAUCCAGUUGUUUUUAAAGUGUUUAACAAAUAAGGUUACACUUACAUGUACGGGUUGAAGUCCCCGGCGCCCAGGUGCCUUUGAGCGCGUGAUGGACUGGAGACCUGCGUGGCCUAAUUAAAGCUGGGACAGACUCCAGCGAGCAGAAGGUGAGCUGCAGUCUUAUUUCUGGGAGACAACACUCAACACUAUUUAUGGCUUCAUCCCAGCAGCCGAUUGGAGAGAGAGCGCCGUGAUCGGGGGCUUUUUGUUGCAGCCUCACAGUGAGAUCACAAACUCGAGAGGCAAGAAAACCCGCCCUACCUGUUACUGUACGUAAUGAAAAGCUCGACCUUGAACAUCUGCUCAGAAAAUGCUGGAGGUACAGAAAGAAAGAAGGUCAAAUUGGAGCAGAACCAUUUUCUCUCCUUCCACCUCUGCUAAAUCUGUUACUGACCUCAAUGGCACAUUUAAUAGAAAUUCAAAUAAAAAAAAUACACCAUCCAA